rnacentral:sRNA from 1 species
CUCUAGCACAGAUAGUAAAUAUUUAGCACCUAUGGUGGCUGCUAAAUUAAAAGCUGGUUAUGCU